GGCGGACGUGGGAGGGAGAGACGGAUCAAUACGAGUCAGGAAAUAAGGGACAAAGGUACGCUUGCAUGACUCCUUCGAUGGCCUGUGCAGCUGGGGGAGGAGGAGGCAAGAUUGACCAAGGAAGGAAGGGACAGCCAAGACAACAGAGAAAACAAAGACAAUUUUAUGCAUGGAGAGAUCUGUCACCACCAUGGAUGCAGGAAACCAAAUUAUUUCCCACAUCACAGAUACGAGCUACAUCUCUGUUGUCGCUUCAGUGUGUAACCUCUGUUUUACUAACAGACACACUGACCCUGAUCUGACCCCAUAGAGAAACAUAAACUUUCUCAGCUCGGGGGGGCUAACAGAAGUGAGUGAGUGAGUUAAAGGUCAAAGGAGCGGCGUUGCUGCGCUGUCACACACCUACAGUUAAUUGGCAACUAUUCUGAAAACCUAGCCCAACUCUGAAUAGUUUCUGAAUUUUCACAAAACAAAGAAUCUAUCAAUCAAUAGAGAAAAACAUCAGCAUAAUAAUCUUUAAU